UCAGUGACUGCAGCUGAAUUGGGCUUAGUGGAAUCCAGGCUUGCUCCCUAGCCAGCCUUCUAUAUCUCAUCACUGUGUCACAUCCCCUCCCCUCCACCUUGCCAGUCUCUGGGUUCCUGUUAUGCUGAGUUGGAGGAGCCGGGAGAGAGACUACCCUUCCAGCCAUCCUCAGCUCAUCCCGGGCACUGGGGGUGGAGAAGGAGCCCCAGACCAUGGAGCAGCUAGCUGUGUGAUUCUGAAUACAUCACUUGACCUCUCUGGGUCCCUCAUCUCCAACAUGAAGGAGGGAUAAGGGCCUCGCCUCACCCUGGAAUGCCAUUCUCCAUAGUGAGCUAGAAUUUGUCGCAUUCAUCCUCCUAUCCCCAGCACUAACAGAAGCUAUAGCACGUUGUGGAUGCUAAAAUAAAUAUUUUGAA